rnacentral:rRNA from 1 species
GACGAACGCUGGCGGCGUGCUUAACACAUGCAAGUCGAACGGUGAAAGGGAGCUUGCUCCCUGGAUCAGUGGCGAACGGGUGAGUAACACGUGGGCAACCUGCCCCAGACUUCGGGAUAACGCUUCGAAAGGAGUGCUAAUACCGGAUACGAACUCCUUGGGCAUCCUUGGGGUUGGAAAGUUUUUCGGUCUGGGAUGGGCCCGCGGCCUAUCAGCUUGUUGGUGAGGUAACGGCUCACCAAGGCGACGACGGGUAGCCGGCCUGAGAGGGCGACCGGCCACACUGGGACUGAGACACGGCCCAGACUCCUACGGGAGGCAGCAGUGGGGAAUAUUGCGCAAUGGGCGAAAGCCUGACGCAGCAACGCCGCGUGAGGGAUGACGGCCUUCGGGUUGUAAACCUCUUUCAGCAGGGAAGAAGCGAAAGUGACGGUACCUGCAGAAGAAGCACCGGCUAACCACGUGCCAGCAGCCGCCGUAA